AAAACGUCCGAUGACUAUUGAAUAAAGAUCAUUUUUUUAACGGUUCUUGUUUCAAUAACAAGAAAGAUGACGAGUGAGUUUUUUAUUCGCGCGUUCGAAUAUGCACAGGACAUAUCACUCUUGGCUUGCGUCAGUUUUACAAAUAUAUUACAAGAUAGGAAAACGAGAAAAAAUAAACUUCAGCAGAAAUUCUUCGUGCAAUCGGUAUUAAUCUUCGCGCGUAAUCGUAACUCUGGAAAUACGAGUUCAACAAUAAAGUUCUAUGGAGAAGAAUGGCCGAUGACGUUUGAAACGAUAACGUGUAGCCGCGUGUGAAUUUUGAAAAUCUCGGGUUUGCCAAACCGUUAUUUGUUGCCAUACGUCCCGCUGGUCGAAGUCAUUACUGAGCUCAAGCUGAAAACCUACUAGAAAAAUCGAUUCUAAAUUGUUCUUUUAUUCUUGAGAGCGUUUUACAUUUUUUCUGAGCGUGUAACAUAACCAAUAAAACGGGCUCUUGAUCUAAUUUUUUUAAUUCGAAGUUUCCAAGUUGACCACCAGAGUUUUGCUCGAACGUUAAUGUCGAGAGUGCAUGUCGGUGUGUGAUGAAACUGUGAACUCAGAUUUCGUUGUGACUAGUCAUGAAAAAUGUACAUUUUCUCUACGCGUGGUACUCCCAAAUUCUACAAAAUUCAUAUCUCCAAAUUCUUCACCGUUUUCCUCUCGAGAUAUGAGAUAUACGAACAAACGGCGAUUCAGUGCUCGGCGAUUAGAUUUUCGUCCGUUCCGUGGCUCUGUGGGUCGCGACCGUUUUGGGCUUUCGAUAAUUUCUUGAUAAACAGAUAACAAUAAUAAUGAUGACAAUAAGUCAACGAUAGGGACAAGGAUUUUCGCUUCUUCGCUUGUACAACGUUUAUCGCGAAAAAUGUGCUGAGUGGUGCAAUGUGGCCGGAUCAACACGUGGAUGGUCUGUUCGGGCUGACGAAUAUGGUUAUAUAUUGCUGAGGGUUGAAACUGGAUGUGUCGAAAGAUGUACCACAAGUGAGGUCGACGAACGGCCAAAUCGUUCCGAGCCCAUUCCUUCGUUGCUCAAAUUAAUAAUCGCUUGUAUAAAUGCAACGAGAUUUCAACGCAAGCAAUAACAACCACAGUGUUCAACAUAUCGCAAUAAAUAAUAAUAGUUGAAAAUAA